UACGUAGGGGGCAAGCGUUGUCCGGAUUUACUGGGCGUAAAGAGCGUGUAGGCGGUCCGGUAAGUCCGCUGUGAAAGUCGGGGGCUCAACCCUCGAAUGCCGGUGGAUACUGUCGGGCUAGAGUGCGGAAGAGGCGAGUGGAAUUCCUGGUGUAGCGGUGAAAUGCGCAGAUAUCAGGAGGAACACCUAUUGCGAAGGCAGCUCGCUGGGACGUAACUGACGCUGAGACGCGAAAGCGUGGGGAGCAAACAGG
rnacentral:rRNA from 1 species